rnacentral:rRNA from 1 species
UACAGAGGGGGCAAGCGUUGUUCGGAAUUACUGGGCGUAAAGGGCGCGUAGGCGGCCCGCUAAGUCGAACGUGAAAUCCCUGGGCUCAACUCAGGAACUGCGUCCGAUACUGGCAGGCUUGAAUCCGGGAGAGGGAUGCGGAAUUCCAGGUGUAGUGGUGAAAUGCGUAGAUAUCUGGAGGAAUACCGGUGGCGAAGGCGGCAUCCUGGACCGACAUUGACGCUGAACGGCGAAAGCUAGGGGAGCAAACGGG